rnacentral:lncRNA from 1 species
AUGUGGUGUAGUACAGGUGUAACCUGUCCGUACAGUAACUCAGUCAUGUGGUGUAGUACAGGUGUAACCUGUCCGUACAGUAACUCAGUCAUGUGGUGUAGUACAGGUGUAACCUGUCUGUACAGUAACUCAGUCAUGUGGUGUAGUACAGGUGUAACCUGUCCGUACAGUAACUCAGUCAUGUGGUGUAGUACAGGUGUAACCUGUCCAUACAGUAACUCAGUCAUGUGGUGUAGUACAGGUGUAACCUGUCCGUACAGUAACUCAGUCAUGUGGUGUAGUACAGGUGUAACCUGUCCGUACAGUAACUCAGUCAUGUGGUGUAGUACAGGUGUUACCUGUCCGUACAGUAACUCAGUCAUCUGGUGUAGUACAGGUGUAACCUGUCCGUACAGUAACUCAGUCAUGUGGCGUAGUACAGGUGUAACCUGUCAGUAACUCAGUCAUGUGGUGUAGUACAGGUGUAACCUGUCCGUACAGUAACUCAGUCAUGUGGUGUAGUACAGGUUUAACCUGUCCGUACAGUAACUCAGUCAUGUGGUGUAGUACAGGUGUAACCUGUCCGUACAGUAACUCAGUCAUGUGGUGUAGUACAGGUGUAACCUGUCCGUACAGUAACUCAGUCAUGUGGUGUAGUACAGGUGUAACCUGUCCAUACAGUAACUCAGUCAUGUGGUGUAGUACAGGUGUAACCUUUCAGUAACUCAGUCAUGUGGUGUAGUACAGGUGUUACCUGUCCGUACAGUAACUCAGUCAUGUGGUGUAGUACAGGUGUAACCUGUCCGUACAGUAACUCAG